GACAGAGGGUGCAAACGUUGUUCGGAAUUACUGGGCGUAAAGCGAGUGUAGGCGGUCUCCUAAGUCGGGUGUGAAAGCCCCGGGCUCAACCUGGGAAUUGCAUUCGAGACUGAAUAGCUAGGGUACGGUAGAGGGAAGUGGAAUUUCCGGUGUAGCGGUGAAAUGCGUAGAUAUCGGAAGGAACAUCAGUGGCGAAAGCGACUUCCUGGACCAGUACCGACGUUCAGGCACGAAAGCGUGGGGAGCAAACAGG
rnacentral:rRNA from 1 species